rnacentral:lncRNA from 1 species
AUGAUCUCAUCUCUGUUUCUGGUUUCUUUAGUUCAUGCUGUGAGGAGGAUGAUGAACAUUAGGAGGAUAACUGCUGAAGAGAGGAAGAGGAUGGAGGAAUCUGUCCAUUUUCUGGUGUCAAAUACUUCAGUAGCUACUACAGUAACUGAAUGGGCUUCUGAUCCAGUUUCUCUUUGUGUUGGACUCCUACAUCCAGAUCCUCCUCACGUCAGGAGAAGACACAGUAUGGAGAGAUAUGAACAAAACAGUAAGUCUUCAUGUUUGAGAGUGUGAUUAAUUGAAUGUUUUAAAAACUUUCAAGGGAUUUAAAAGCUGGCAAGAUCAUUGGGCCUCAUUCUCGAACGCAGUUAAGAAGAAUUUAAGAAAGAAUUCCACUUCCGGUGUUUUAGGAACAAAUUUGGCAUUCAUGAAACUUCAGAAGAAUUUCAGAACGCGAAAUAGCAGUCGUAAAU